GGAUGUGGCUCAGUCGUAGAGCGCUCACCUAGCAUGUGCAAGGCCCUGGGUUCAAUCCUCAGCACCA
rnacentral:tRNA from 1 species